AGUGAACGCUGGCGGUAGGCCUAACACAUGCAAGUCGAACGGCAGCACAGUAAGAGCUUGCUCUUACGGGUGGCGAGUGGCGGACGGGUGAGGAAUACAUUGGAAUCUACUUUUUCGUGGGGGAUAACGUAGGGAAACUUACGCUAAUACCGCAUACGACCUACGGGUGAAAGCAGGGGAUCUUCGGACCUUGCGCGAUUGAAUGAGCCGAUGUCGGAUUAGCUAGUUGGCGGGGUAAAGGCCCACCAAGGCGACGAUCCGUAGCUGGUCUGAGAGGAUGAUCAGCCACACUGGAACUGAGACACGGUCCAGACUCCUACGGGAGGCAGCAGUGGGGAAUAUUGGACAAUGGGAGCAAGCCUGAUCCAGCCAUACCGCGUGGGUGAAGAAGGCCUUCGGGUUGUAAAGCCCUUUUGUUGGGAAAGAAAAGCAGCAGGUUAAUACCCCGCUGUUCUGACGGUACCCAAAGAAUAAGCACCGGCUAACUUCGUG
rnacentral:rRNA from 1 species